rnacentral:rRNA from 1 species
GACGAACGCUGGCGGCGUGCUUAACACAUGCAAGUCGAACGGAAAGGCCCUGCUUUUGUGGGGUGCUCGAGUGGCGAACGGGUGAGUAACACGUGAGUAACCUGCCCUUGACUUUGGGAUAACUUCAGGAAACUGGGGCUAAUACCGGAUAGGAGCUCCUGCUGCAUGGUGGGGGUUGGAAAGUUUCGGCGGUUGGGGAUGGACUCGCGGCUUAUCAGCUUAUUGGUGGGGUAGUGGCUUACCAAGGCUUUGACGGGUAGCCGGCCUGAGAGGGUGACCGGGCACAUUGGGACUAAGGUACGGACCAGACUGCUACGGGAGGCAGAAGUGGGGAAUAUUGCCCAACGGGCCGAAGCCUGAUGCGGCAACGUCGCGGGCGGGAUGACGGCCUUUGGGUAGUGAACCGCUUUAGCCUGUGACGAAGCGGGAGUGACGGUAAUGGGUAAAGAAGCACCGGCUAACUACGUG